rnacentral:rRNA from 1 species
UACGGGGGGAGCAAGCGUUGUUCGGAUUUACUGGGCGUAAAGGGCGCGUAGGCGGCGCGGUAAGUCGGGUGUGAAAUCUUGGAGCUUAACUCCGAAACUGCAUUCGAUACUGCCGUGCUUGAGGACUGGAGAGGAGACUGGAAUUUACGGUGUAGCGGUGAAAUGCGUAGAUAUCGUAAGGAAGACCAGUGGCGAAGGCGGGUCUCUGGGACGGUACUGACGCUGAGACGCGAAAGCGUGGGGAGCGAACAGG